rnacentral:rRNA from 1 species
AGUGAACGCUGGCGGUAGGCCUAACACAUGCAAGUCGAACGGCAGCACAGUAAGAGCUUGCUCUUACGGGUGGCGAGUGGCGGACGGGUGAGGAAUACAUCGGAAUCUACUUUUUCGUGGGGGAUAACGUAGGGAAACUUACGCUAAUACCGCAUACGACCUACGGGUGAAAGCAGGGGAUCUUCGGACCUUGCGCGAUUGAAUGAGCCGAUGUCGGAUUAGCUAGUUGGCGGGGUAAAGGCCCACCAAGGCGACGAUCCGUAGCUGGUCUGAGAGGAUGAUCAGACACACUGGAACUGAGACACGGUCCAGACUCCUACGGGAGGCAGCAGUGGGGAAUAUUGGACAAUGGGCGCAAGCCUGAUCCAGCCAUACCGCGUGUGUGAAGAAGGCCUUCGGGUUGUAAAGCCCUUUUGUUGGGAAAGAAAAGCAGCAGGUUAAUACCCCGCUGUUCUGACGGUACCCAAAGAAUAAGCACCGGCUAACUUCGUG